AGUCAGUGAUGUGAUACUAUGUGUUACCUAAACCUAAAGUUGAUGUAAAUUCUAAAAUUACAGAGGACUUG
rnacentral:snoRNA from 1 species